rnacentral:rRNA from 1 species
GCGAUCAUACCAGCACUAAUGCACCGGAUCCCAUCAGAACUCCGAAGUUAUGCGUGCUUGGGCGAGAGCAGUACUAGGAUGGGUGACCCCCUGGGAAGUCCUCGUGUUGCACCU